CGGAGUCGUUAUCGCAUGCGCAUGCCGCGUUCGCGCCUCCGUCGAAUAACUUUCUGAAUUCCGCCCGCCUUUGAGUUUUCCAUCGAGUUUCUCCUUCUGGGAUAAUCGCCACUCCUGCUUCUGCUUCUGCUUCCGGAAUCCGGUCCCGUUCCCGAUCCAGUUUAUCAAUUUUUAAUCCCAAACACAAAAAACGAUCCCCAAUUGGAGGGGCGAGUGCGCGAUGGUGUGCGGUUCAUUCGAAAGUAAUGCCGAUUAAUUAAACAUAUUGACCAGUGGCCGUAAAUAAUGGAAUUUUAAAUUCUCGCAUGUUGAAAAGUUCAUUACUUUGUGAGUCCGAGCACACAGAAAUAUUUAUAACUGCAUUGAAAAAUUAUUCCGGGCCGAUAUUUAAUGACGGCUACCCAACGGAUUUUAUGAGUUCGUCGAUUUCGUUUCAAAUUAUUAAGUGAUUGAAUGAAAUAUUCCCCGGGUCUUAUCACACAGUUCAUAGAAUCAUUAAAGGCGAUUUUUACCAAAAGCACUACCCAAAUAAUUGUAUCGAUAAAAAGCUGUACGCGGCACUGGAAGUGAGCAGACCGGUGGAGUAGAUCCAUCCCCAUUCAACAGCGGUGCAGACCCACCAAGCACCACCCCAGCAACAAUUCUCAGCGGUGGCGUCCGGCCAAAACCACCUCGUUGC